UACGGGGGGGGCAAGCGUUGUUCGGAAUUAUUGGGCGUAAAGGGCUCGUAGGUGGCCAACUAAGUCAGACGUGAAAUCCCUCGGCUUAACCGGGGAACUGCGUCUGAUACUGGAUGGCUAGAGUUUGGGAGAGGGAUGCGGAAUUCCAGGUGUAGCGGUGAAAUGCGUAGAUAUCUGGAGGAACACCGGUGGCGAAGGCGGCAUCCUGGACCAACACUGACGCUGAGGAGCGAAAGCAUGGGGAGCGAACAGG
rnacentral:rRNA from 1 species